rnacentral:rRNA from 1 species
UACGAAGGGGGCUAGCGUUGCUCGGAAUCACUGGGCGUAAAGCGCACGUAGGCGGAUUGCUAAGUCAGGGGUGAAAUCCUGGAGCUCAACUCCAGAACUGCCUUUGAUACUGGCGAUCUUGAGUCCGGGAGAGGUGAGUGGAACUGCGAGUGUAGAGGUGAAAUUCGAUAGAUAUUCGCAAGAACACCAGUGGCGAAGGCGGCUCACUGGCCCGGUACUGACGCUGAGGUGCGAAAGCGUGGGGAGCAAACAGG